rnacentral:rRNA from 1 species
GAAGGUGGCAAGCGUUGUUCGGAUUUACUGGGCGUACAGGGAGCGUAGGCGGUUGGAUAARCCCUCCGUGAAAUCUCCAGGCUUAACCUGGAAAGUGCAGAGGGGACUGUUCAGCUAGAGGAUGGGAGAGGAGCGCGGAAUUCCCGGUGGAGCGGUGAAAUGCGUAGAGAUCGGGAGGAAGGCCGGUGGCGAAGGCGGCGCUCUGGAACAUUUCUGACGCUGAGGCUCGAAAGCGUGGGGAGCAAACAGGAUUAGAUACCCUGGUAGUCCACGCCUUAAACGAUGGAUACUAAGUGUCGGCGGGUUACCGCCGGUGCCGCAGCUAACGCAGUAAGUAUCCCGCCUGGGAAGUACGGCCGCAAGGUUG